GAACAUUGUGCACCUGAAACACUGCAGAUAGUACACAAAAACCCACACUGCAUCCAAGUACAUGCACUUCCCAAGCCACUAAUGCCAAUGGUGCAGAAUCCAAUUCCCGUGAACAUAUGGUGCAACUCAACAAUCCAUGUAAUUCUUAAGAUGAUUUCAAAAAAAAAAAAAAAA